CUCUGGGUAUCUGCGUUCCACAGAUGGGCUUUAGGUGGUUUCUGGGGUUGAUACUGGUGGUUCAUCGGUUGUCUGUUAAGGUGAUUCAGCUGGUAAGGGGUGUAAUGUUAAAAUCCCUCUUAUCUCUGGAACAACACAGUCCAUGAUCACUUCUGGUCUGCCCUCUGGAACUGGUGAAGAUAUAACUGGGGAUCUCUCAAUAGUUUGUCUCCAUGGUAACAGGUAGUCAACAUGUAUUGUGCGUGUUCUCUGUCCUUCUUGUAUCAUAUAAGUAACACUUCCCUUUUUCUUUAGAACUGUUCCAUGAGUCCAUUUUUUUUUUUGCCCCCCGAGGUUUCAGAUAUGCACAGCCUCUCCUGAAAAAACACGUACAGGUGGAGUUCUGUGAUGGUGGUGUCGCUUCUGCUCAUCUGCUGGUGUACUUCACAGUGUGCAGUGUACUGUGAUACAUGAUAAGGAAGUUUGCCAAUUGAUGAGUGAGCAGCAAUGUGGCCUUACCAUCUGCUUCCAGCACAUUCUUCAUCAGGGAUCGUUUCAGGAUUUCACCUCUCUGCUGCUCCAUUUGAUUCAGGAUGAAGCUGUGUGUCUGAUCCCAUUUAACUCCAAGAACUGACUGAAUUCUUUUGACACAAUUUGAGGUCCAGUGUCUUAAACAAGCUCUUCUGGGAGUCCAUAUAAAGCAAAUAACCCUCUCAAAACCUCAGUGCUAUUGUAUGAGGAAAAUCAAUGUGAAUCCAUUGCCAAACUCUCCCAGGCCCCUUCCACAGAUGGAGUGGUGCAACCGCUGGCACUUCUGUACAGCCUGACAGAUUGAGCAGCUUUGAACUAGUUCCUGUAUGUCACCAUCACAGCCUGGCCACCACAGGUAACUGUGGGCUAGAGCUUUCAUAGGAUGGCUGGAUGUUCAUGAUGCUGGUCUUCCAGUACUUUCUGUCGGUAAACUGGUGGAAUGAUAACUUGUUGUCCCCAAAGAAUACAUCCUUGUUUUGAU